UCUUCUUCUUCUUCUUCUUCAUCCCUCUCUCUCUCUUUUUUUCCCCCCAUUGAUGGGCGUGACUUUGAUGUUUGUUGUAUAGACCUUGGACCUUAUUGUUGUGGAUCAUUCAUAACUUCUACAACCUCCAAGGUGGUUUAUAGCUUAAAUUUUAGGCCAAGUGCAACGCUUAAGAGCAGAUUUUAAGUCAAUGAGCAACUCGUUGCAAGGCUUACUGUUUAAUAGUUUAUAAUUUUGUGGCUCAUGUAGGCACCUUUCUGAUGUUUUAUGG
rnacentral:misc_RNA from 1 species